CGUAUAUUUAUCGUCUUAUACCUUGGAACUAGCAGGGUGUAUAUGUAAAACAUAUACCUUGGAGUUGUAAAAAUAUUUAUGGAGUUUUCCAAUAAAGAAGAAAUUCCUGAUACAGGGUAACUGUACUCUUAUUUAUAACUGGAUUUAUACGUUAAUUCUAUUCAACGAGCAAACCAUUAGGGAUAACAAAUAUUAACCUUGAUGUAGG
rnacentral:lncRNA from 1 species